AUGUGAACGAUGAAGGUCUUCUGAUUGUCAAGUUCUUUUAUUUAGGAAAAAAAGCUUGAGAGGAAAUGAUUAAGCCUUGAUUGUACUAAAUGAAUAAGUGACAGCUAACUAUGUGCCAGCAGCUGCGGUAAAACAUAGGUCACGAGCAUUAUCCGGAUUUAUUGGGCGUAAAGGAAGCGUAGGCGGACAAAUUGAUCUAUUGUUAAAGGCACUUGCUCAACGAGUUGUUUGUGAUAGAUAUCGUUUGUCUAGAAUUAGUUAGGAGAUACUGGAAUUCAAUGUGUAGCGGUGGAAUGCGUAGAUAUAUUGAGGAACACCAGAGGCUAAGGCGAGUAUCUAGGACAUAAUUGACGCUGAGGCUUGAAAGCGUGGGGAGCAAAUGGGAUUAGAUACCCCAGUAGUCCACGCCGUAAACGAUGGGUAUUAGGUAUUUGGUUUAGGACUGAGUGCUGUAGCUAACGCGUUAAAUACCCCGCGCUGGGUAGUAUAUAUGC
rnacentral:rRNA from 1 species